GAGAUAGAUGUGCAAGGCCAGUUCACUGGUCUUGUUAACAAGCCUCAUCGUAAAAAUGGAGAUGAUAAG
rfam:Procavia capensis cont1.1829, whole genome shotgun sequence.